rnacentral:rRNA from 1 species
CAGCAGCAGCCGCGGUAAUACGGAGGGUGCAAGCGUUAAUCGGAAUUACUGGGCGUAAAGCGUGCGUAGGCGGUUCGUUAAGUCUGUUGUGAAAGCCCCGGGCUCAACCUGGGAAUGGCAAUGGAUACUGGCGAGCUAGAGUGUGUCAGAGGAUGGUGGAAUUCCCGGUGUAGCGGUGAAAUGCGUAGAGAUCGGGAGGAACAUCAGUGGCGAAGGUGGCCAUCUGGGACAACACUGACGCUGAGGCACGAAAGCGUGGGGAGCAAACAGGAUUAGAUACCCCCGUAGUCCCUGUCUCUUAUAC